AUGGAGAGACUUGUUAAUGUUCAUUACAUGGACAAGGAGGCAUUCUUGAGUAACAAUGCCGACACGGGUGAGGAACCAUUGGUUUUUGAUACAAGCCCUAGCUAUGAGGAUGUUGUUGCAAAAGUGAGACAAGUCUUAGAGUGGAUGGACACCAAUGUUGAUGUUAAGUUAAUAGGAAGGUAUGAUGUUGGAGUUGGAGCCAAAUCUCGCUUGAAAAGUAUGCCUAUCACCUCGGAUUUGCAUUGGGAUGUAUACAAGGAAAAGGUAUCCCAAUCGGAAGACAAGUCACUUGAAUUGUUUGCCACCAAGGUUGAAUCUCCUCGGUUUACCAUUGAUUUGAACCGGCAUGUCUCUUCCCCAAUGGAUGACAUGAGCGUUGAGUUGUAUGCCCCCAAUGCUUCUAGCCAACCACCAACUAGCCAAGCAAAUGAAGUUGAGGUGAUUGCUAGUGACGAAGUAAUUCAAGAGGAUGAAGAUGUUUAUGAUGACGACGAAGAGCAAGAGGAAGGGUUUCAUGGUAAUGAUGUUGGUGACUUGAAUGCGUACAUAGCGCAAAAGGACAUGGAUCGUGACUUGCCUUUUAGGCGUCAAUAUGCGUAUGACUCGAAACUAGAAGGUAAAUCAACUACACCCCCACUUAUUGGUUGGUUUCAGGAUCUCCAGUAUCAUAGUUUUGUGUAA
rnacentral:rRNA from 1 species